rnacentral:rRNA from 1 species
CAGUAGCCACGGGAAUACGAAGGGGGCUAGCGUUGCCCGGAAUGACUGGGCGUAAAGGGCGCGUAGGCGGAUUGUUUAGUUAGGCGUGAAAUUCCUGGGCUUAACCUGGGGACUGCGCUUAAUACAGGCAGUCUAGAGUGAGGAAGAGGGUUGUGGAAUUCCCAGUGUAGAGGUGAAAUUCGUGGAUACUGGGAAGAACACCGGUGGUGAAGGCGGCAACCUGGUCCUUGACUGACGCUGAGGCGCGAAAGCGUGGGGAGGAAACAGGAUUAGAUACCCCAGUAGUCCCUGUCUCUUAUAC